GGUGUUGAUGACGUUGGGGGUACACCCGUUCCCAUACCGAACACGGAAGUUAAGCUCAAUGGUGCCGAAGAUACUUUGUUGGUGACGACACGGAAAAAUAGGAAGAUGC
rnacentral:rRNA from 1 species